rnacentral:rRNA from 1 species
GACGAACGCUGGCGGCGUGCUUAACACAUGCAAGUCGAACGGAAAGGCCCCUUUGGGGGUACUCGAGUGGCGAACGGGUGAGUAACACGUGAGUAACCUGCCCUUGACUUCGGGAUAACUUCAGGAAACUGAGGCUAAUACCGGAUAGGAAUCCUUGCUGCAUGGUGGGGGUUGGAAAGCUUCGGCGGUUUUGGAUGGACUCGCGGCUUAUCAGCUUGUUGGUGGGGUAGUGGCUUACCAAGGCUUUGACGGGUAGCCGGCCUGAGAGGGCGACCGGCCACAUUGGGACUGAGAUACGGCCCAGACUCCUACGGGAGGCAGCAGUGGGGAAUAUUGCACAAGGGGCGGAAGCCUGAUGCAGCAACGCCGCGGGCGGGAUGACGGCCUUCGGGUUGUAAACCGCUUUCAGCAGGGGCGAAGCUUGUGGUGACGGUACCUGCAGAAGAAGCACCGGCUAACUACGUG